rnacentral:tRNA from 1 species
AACCCUGGCGGCAUAGUGGUUAAGUGCUAUGGCUGCCAACCAAAAGGUCGGCAGUUCAAAUCUGCCCAGCGCUC